ACGGAAGGCAGCAGUGGGGAAUAUUGCACAAUGGGGGAAACCCUGAUGCAGCAACGCCGCGUGAAGGAAGACGGUCUUCGGAUUGUAAACUUCUGUUCUUAGUGAAGAUAAUGACGGUAGCUAAGGAGCAAGCCACGGCUAACUACGUGCCAGCAGCCGCGGUAAUACGUAGGUGGCAAGCGUUGUCCGGAAUUACUGGGUGUAAAGGGAGUGUAGGCGGGACUGUAAGUCAGAUGUGAAAUAUGCCGGCUCAACUGGCAGACUGCAUUUGAAACUGCGGUUCUUGAGUGAAGUAGAGGUAAGCGGAAUUCCUAGUGUAGCGGUGAAAUGCGUAGAUAUUAGGAGGAACAUCAGUGGCGAAGGCGGCUUACUGGGCUUUAACUGACGCUGAGGCUCGAAAGCGUGGGGAGCAAACAGGAUUAGAUACCCUGGUA
rnacentral:rRNA from 1 species